CACAACAUGCCAUCUUCCAAGCAAUAAUACACCAAUUAACAUCUAGCUAGUUGAGCAACUCAUAACCAUCACAAUAACCAUAUCAAAUAUGCCAAAACACAAGGAAACUAUUACCAUAUAUAUCAUUUAUCAUACUCAUAAAUCAAGCCAACUUAAAUGGCAAAAUACACACCAACAUUACAUCAUUUCACAAGCCAAUUCACAUGGCUAAUACCAUAACUCAAAACUUAUCAUCA
rnacentral:lncRNA from 1 species